UACGGAGGGUGCAAGCGUUAUCCGGAUUCACUGGGUUAAAGGGUGCGUAGGUGGACAGGUAAGUCAGUGGUGAAAUCCCCGAGCUUAACUCGGGAACUGCCGUUGAUACUAUCUGUCUUGAAUAUCGCGGAGGUAAGCGGAAUAUGUCAUGUAGCGGUGAAAUGCUUAGAUAUGACAUAGAACACCGAUUGCGAAGGCAGCUUACUACACGAUCAUUGACACUGAGGCACGAAAGCGUGGGGAGCAAACAGG
rnacentral:rRNA from 1 species